CGGGUCUCUAGUGGCGAACGGGUGAGUAACACGUAGGGAACCUGCCCGCGCACCGGGAAUACGCUCUGGAAACGGAGAACAAAUCCCGAUGUACAGGAAGGAGGCAUCUUCUUUCUGUGAAACAUCCUUUAGGGGAUGGGGCGCGGAUGGACCUGCGGUGCAUUAGUUUGUUGGCGGGGUAAAGGCCCACCAAGACGAUGAUGCAUAGCCGGCCUGAGAGGGCGGACGGCCACAUUGGGACUGAGACACGGCCCAGACUCCUGCGGGAGGCAGCAGUAGGGAAUUUUCGUCAAUGGGCGCAAGCCUGAACGAGCGAUGCCGCGUGAGUGAAGAAGGCCUUCGGGUCGUAAAGCUCUGUUGCGGGGGAAAAAAGGCAGCAUCAGGAAAUGGGUGCUGACUGAUGGUGCCCCGCCAGAAAGUCACGGCUAACUACGUGCCAGCAGCCGCGGUAAUACGUAGGUGGCGAGCGUUAUCCGGAAUGAUUGGGCGUAAAGGGUGCGCAGGCGGUCCUGCAAGUCUGGAGUGAAACGCAUGAGCUCAACUCAUGCAUGGCUUUGGAAACUGGAGGACUGGAGAGCAGGAGAGGGCGGUGGAACUCCAUGUGUAGCGGUAAAAUGCGUAGAUAUAUGGAAGAACACCAGUGGCGAAGGCGGCCGCCUGGCCUGUUGCUGACGCUGAGGCACGAAAGCGUGGGGAGCAAAUAGGAUUAGAUACCCUAGUAGUCCACGCCGUAAACGAUGAGGACCAAGUGUUGGGGGUGAAACCUCAGUGCUGAAGU
rnacentral:rRNA from 1 species